AACAUAUCAUCAUCGGUAUUGUCAAGUGAUAGUAUGCAUAUUGGGAUUCUUGCGGCAGCUGCUCAUGCUUUUGCAAAUAAUAGUCCCUUUACCGUCUUUUACAAUCCUAGGGAUAGUCCUUCAGAGUUUGUUAUUCCUUUAGCCAAGUACUACAAGGUAGUGUUUCUAUUCUCCUUUUUAGAGUUUGUGAGAUAGAAAAAUUCACAAUAGUGUAAUUUGCAUGUUGACAACAAGUUCAACACUUUCCAAAAUUUGGAUCUGAUAACUGUGUAUCACUAUUGCAUCUUUGUUACUUCUGAUUUGAGUUGCUUUAGAAUGAUGUAUACUCAUAAUAUGUUGUACAUAAUAAUGCCUGACAGUUGUGAUCAUUGUGUAAUAUAUCAUAUCUGAAUUUUGUACUUUUUCCACUAA